rnacentral:rRNA from 1 species
GGGGAGAAGAACCACAGGGGAUUGCCCUAGUAACGGCGAGUGAAGCGGCAACAGCUCAGAUUUGAAAUCUGGCCCUUUUAGAGGGUCCGAGUUGUAAUCUGCAGAGGAUGCUUUUGGUGAGGUGCCUUCUGAGUCCCCUGGAACGGGGCGCCAUAGAGGGUGAGAGCCCCGUAUAGUUGGACACCGAGCCUCUGUAAAGCUCCUUCGACGAGUCGAGUAGUUUGGGAAUGCUGCUCUAAAUGGGAGGUAAAUUUCUUCUAAAGCUAAAUACCGGCCAGAGACCGAUAGCGCACAAGUAGAGUGAUCGAAAGAUGAAAAGCACUUUGAAAAGAGGGUUAAAUAGCACGUGAAAUUGCUGAAAGGGAAGCGCUUGUGACCAGACUUGUGCCCAGCGGAUCAUCCGGCGUUCUCGCCGGUGCACUCCACUGGGUUCAGGCCAGCAUCGGUUUCGCCAGGGGGACAAAAGCCUUGGGAACGUAGCUCUCUUCGGGGAGUGUUAUAGCCCGUGGCACAAUGCCCUUAGGCGGGACCGAGGUUCGCGCUCUGCAAGGAUGCUGGCGUAAUGGUCAUCAGCGACCCGUCUUGAAACACGGACCAAGGAGUCAAGCAUUAGGGCGAGUCUUUGGGUGUAAAACCCGCAGGCGCAAUGAAAGUGAACGUAGGUGAGAGCUUCGGCGCAUCAUCGACCGAUCCUGAUGUUUUCGGAUGGAUUUGAGUAAGAGCCUUACCGCUUGGACCCGAAAGAUGGUGAACUAUGCCUGAAUAGGGUGAAGCCAGAGGAAACUCUGGUGGAGGCUCGCAGCGGUUCUGACGUGCAAAUCGAUCGUCAAAUUUGGGCAUGGGGGCGAAAGACUAAUCGAACCCUCUAGUAGCUGGUUACCGCCGAAGUUUCCCUCAGGAUACCAGUGUUGUUUUCAGUUUUAUGAGGUAAAGCGAAUGAUUAGGGACUCGGGGGCCCUUAUUAGCCUUCAUCCAUUCCCAACUUUAAAUUUGUAAAAGGCCCUUGUUACUUAG